CGCGAGUCGAAUCAAAUCGUAAUUAAAUAAUAAAAAUGGAUUAAAAGGACAACUAAAGGGAGCAAAGACAUCAGGGUCUCAAAGGCCAAAAACAAUAAACGGAACCAUCCUCCUGACUAGAAAACAAAGGUGUUCUGACCUGCGGUGGGAAAAGGAAAGACAAUGCUGACCUCCCUCCCUCCCUCUCUAUCCACAAAACAGGAGGAGAAGCAGUAACAGAAAUGGCAGAGAACCGUAACAGAACGGCUGGAUUUAAAAAUCGCUUUUUCCUGUUUGUUUCACACCUUCUUUCACACCUUCUCUCACACCUUGGCUUUCUUUGCAGUUUUUGCAGUGAGGGGAUGACUUUGGGUCUUUGCAGAUCUAAAGUUCAACAGGGAGGCCAGCAGUGUGCUACGGUGGAGGAUGA
ensembl:lncRNA